rnacentral:rRNA from 1 species
UGAGGAAUAUUGGUCAAUGGGCGGGAGCCUGAACCAGCCAAGCCGCGUGAGGGAGGAAGGCCCUAUGGGUCGUAAACCUCUUUUGUCAGGGAACAAAAGCGAGUAUGUAUACUAGUCUGAGUGUACCUGAAGAAAAAGCAUCGGCUAACUCCGUGCCAGCAGCCGCGGUAAUACGGAGGAUGCGAGCGUUAUCCGGAUUUAUUGGGUUUAAAGGGUGCGUAGGCGGCGGUGCAAGUCAGCGGUAAAAGCCCGGGGCUCAACCCCGGCGAGCCGUUGAAACUGCAGUGCUAGAGAAGGCGAGAGGUACGCGGAAUGCGCAGUGUAGCGGUGAAACGCUUAGAUAUUGCGCAGAACUCCGAUUGCGAAGGCAGCGUACUGGCGCCUGACUGACGCUGAGGCACGAAAGCGUGGGGAUCGAACAGGAUUAGAUACCC